rnacentral:lncRNA from 1 species
ACAAGAGGAAGAUAUCAUAUAUUGAAUAAAACUGUUGGAUUACAAUAGUGGAUAUUACAGGAGGAACAUCAUCCCAAUGUGAUCCAUAAUCUAAAUAUUUUCUUGAGAGUGAAACUUAAACAGACAAUAAUCCAUCAACUAGAACUAACUAAAACUUAACCGAGGAACAUCAUCCAACAGGAACAACAUCACUACAACUUUAACUAAAACUAACUUUAACUAAAACUGAAGGCAUCCAUCAUCAUCAACGGGAACAUCAUCAUCAUCAUCAUCAACGGGAACAUCAUCAUCAUGAUUGCAGUAUACUUGCCACAAACCAUAGAAUCAUCCAUAUAUCUUUUGAUUGAAUCUACAAAGAAAAUAACAAAAUGAAUUGUUAACACACAAUGAGCUGACAUCAUGCAAGUAGUGAGAGAGGCAGGUUAUAAGUCACUUACAAAGGUUGAAGGCCAUGCAAUUUAUGUUAUACAUAGUAGAUGGAAAUACAUCCAUAACCUAUCUCAAGAUCAUCAUUGAUCGGUUAGUAUUGGUUUUUUUACCGCUUUUUGAGGGGUUCAGGUUACAGGCUUAAACUAUACUAGCAAGAGGAAAAUAGUAUCUCACACCCUUAUCCUAAUAAGCAUGGCGCAUAACCUACCACAGCUUCGCUUCCUCAAUUUCUACAUGCCACUACAUUUUAUAAAUAGUAGCUAUUUCAAACUUAUUCAAGGAGAUACUAUCUGGUUAAUUCCUGUAAAAAUAAAUUAAGAGGUUAAUUAAUUAGUCAUCCCUUUGAACAGUAAUGCUCUACUUUUCUGAUGCUUGGAUUGGAUGGGUUAAUUAAUUAGUCAUCCUUUUGAGUAGUAAUGCUCUACUUUUGUUAUCAAAAUUCCCCAAAAGACUUUAAGUUGUCACACAGUUGCAUGUCUGUGUGUCUUGUCCAGAAGUUGAAGCAACUGCCUUAUGUGGCCAUUAAGCAAGUUGAGGUUACUUUUUGCAAAGAAAUAUGGUCCCAAAAGAACAAUUCCCUGAAGCGACUUGGAAAACAAAUGGGUUGUCGAGUAACUUACUUCAUAAUUAAGCACAGAAGUCAUCAUGGCAUCCAACAGAAGAUAUGAAAGAUCUGUAGCUGAUCUGCAUCAGUACAGUUACACCAACAUGUAACAACAUCACGUUAUUUCACCAUUGUUCCCUUGGAAUCUGUACAGUGUAGUGAUGAAUAUGUGGCACAAGAAAGAGAGGUGGCAACCUGUUUGGUACCUUGAAGAAGGCCUUGCUCUUGAGCUAGUGGUCCAGCGCUCAUGGACUGAAAGAAACAAGAAGACCAAGAUGAAAAUAAUGAACAGACCUCGUCGAACUGUACUUGGAGACUGACAGCGAGCUCGGGGCUAAGCGCCAUCUCGUCCAGCGUCUACAUGAGGG